ensembl:lncRNA
GCAAUAGCUGGGUAGGAUUUAAAUGUUUCCCAGAAAAUGAUGACAAUAACCUUUCUGUUGCACCCAUCAAGGCGUAAAUUCAAUGCAAGCAAAUAUGUGAUUUGUUCUUUGCCAUUUUUGCAGUUCUUUACCCAGUGGAGGUGUAGCAGGUGCAUCCUGCUCCACAACCGCUACCUCCAUGUCAGUGGCAGAUACUGUAGAAGGGGCGGGGUCAGGAACCUCAGAGGGGGCGGGGUCAGACACCUCGGAGGGGGCGGGGUCAGACACCUCGGAGGGGGCGGGGUCAGACACCUCAGAGGGGGCGGGGUCAGACACCUCAGAGGGGGCAGGGUCAGACACCUCAGAGGGGGCGGGGUCGUAUGAUGUUGAAGAGGAGUCGCUCUCAUAGUUGGAGGAGUCAGAAUCAUCUGAGGCGUCAGGUUGAGGCACCACAGAAGGGGCUGUUGAGGGGGUGGAGUCAAGGACCACUGAGGGGGUGGAGUCAGGGGAAACGACAACUGAGGGGGCGGAGUUAGAUGCAGCUGAAGGGGCCGAGGAAGCGACCACUGAGGGGGCGGACUCAGAGGACACGACCACUGAGAGGGUGGAGUCAGAGGAAUCGGCCACUGAGGGGGCGGAGUCAGAGGAAUCGACAACUGAGGGGGCGGAGUCAGAGGAAACAAGCACUGAGGGGCUGGAGUCAGAGGAAUCGGCUACUGAGGGGACUGAGUCAGAGGAAACAACCACUGAGGGGGCGGAGUCAGAGGAUACGACCACUGAGGGGGUGGAGUCAGAGGAAUCGGCUACUGAGGGGACUGAUUCAGAGGAAACGACAACUGAGGGGGCGGAGUCAGAGGCAGCUGAGGAUACGACCACUGAGGGGGCGGAGUCAGAGGCUGCUGAGGAAACGACCACUGAGGGGGCGGAGUCAGAGGCAGCUGAGGGGGCGGAGGAAACUACCACUGAGGAGGCGGAGUCAGAGGCAGCUGAGGGGGCAGAGGAAACGACCACUGAGGGGGUGGAGUCAGAGGAAUCGACCACCGAGGGGGCGGACUCAGAGGAUACGACCACUGAGGGGGUGGAGUCAGAGGAAUCGACCACUGAGGGGGCGGAGUCAGAGGAAUCGACCACUGAGGGGGCGGAGUCAGAGGCAGCUGAGGAAACGACCACUGAGGGGGCGGAGUCAGAGGAAACGACCACUGAAGGGGCGGGGCGAGGGUCUGCUGAGGGGGUGGAGUCUGUUUCUGAUACAAUGACUGUUGGCUGGACCUUAGUCCGCCCUAGAGAGGAGGACUGCACUGCUGUGGACAGAAGGGGAGGACAGGGAGGAGAGGGAAGAGAUUAAAAAAGGGUCGGAAAGACAAAACAAAAUUGAAGGAGAGGGAAGGGUGAGGGAGAACAAGGAAGGCAAGGGAGUAAAAGGGAGGUCGUUAGUGAAUUUGAGAGCCAAAAUCACUGAAUACAUCAAUGAAGAGGGCACACAGUAAAUCAAGAGUGAAGAUCGAAGGUAGAGACGAGCGGUUCUAAACGCCGGGCGGCAGAGCCUUUGUCAUCCUGAUUUCUCCGUCAGGGAGGCCCAGACUGUACAAAGGACACUUCACACAAAACAAAGGAGCUCCACUCAAUGCCCUCGGGGACCGUGAGCGCUCAGGCUGGAAAUCCAAGUCCACAAAUUAAAAAAGAAAAACAGAUUCCCCGGCGGGUUCAACUCCCCCUCCUACCUGCGGCCGCGUUCAGCUUCUCCCGGAGGUCGGUGGGUGGGCGCCGCCCGCCCCGGCGGCCCCCCUCCUGGGGGCGCCGGCCCUGGCUCUGGCUCUGGGCGGGGCUGCUCUCGGCGCUGGGGGGCUUCAGCGGGCUCUCUCCCAGGCUGCUGCAGGGGGACUGCUCCUCCAUCGCGUCCCCCCAGUCCGUCACGGGCUGGUAGCCGUCGGGGGGGGCGAAGGGGCUGAGGGGCUUGGUCCCGUCGGGGGAGUCCUGGGCCGCCGCCGCCGCCGCGGGGCUGGGGAUCUGGACCUUGGGCCGGGGGGUGCGCUGCUCCCUGGGGCUGGUCACCACCACCGAGGCGGGGGCAGGAGUCGCAGGGGCGGCGGCGGGGGCGGCGGCGGCGGCGGCAGCGGCGGUCUCCUCCUUCCCCGCGUCCCUCUUCUCCUCCUGGUCGCCCUCCUCGCUGCUUCCUCCUUCGUCGUCGUCCGAGCCCCCGUCCUCCCCAUCGCUGGCGUCCUCCCACUCGUCCUCGUCUUCCUCCGCCUCGCCCCGCCUGGCUUCCUGGGGUACCGGGGGUUGUCACGGGAACAGGACACAUGGGGUUAAGGGGACCGCCGUGUGCGGGUGCUUCUGGGGUGUCCCGUGAGUAACAUGACACAGUGGUGGUCCCAUGGUUAUGUUAUCA